GUUUGGGAACACAGCACAAAUCACUUGGUUGUAUACAAUCGUCUCAGUGUAAUUCAAAACCUCUUAGUGAUGAUAACAAAUUCCGAAAUCACACCCCACUCUGGUGAAAAUUUUGAACAACGGUUUCAGGAAAAUGCUAUGAAAAAAUUGGAAGGAAGAUCGUCUACAGUAAAUAGCAUCAGUUUGCUUUCCCGACAAAUUUGAUCACACAUUGUGCAAACGACCAUCGUUCAUGAUGAGAUUAGUGGAGAUUUUCAGUAUUCAGCCUGAAUGUUGAAGCAGAAAGAACGUCUGUUGAAUGCAAAGAUUGAAUACGAGUAAAUAUUUUUUUGACUAUCUUUAUUGAGCCAUCAACUAAAAUUUUUUUUUUUAUUUUUUACAAAAUUAUUCAACUAUCCACAAAAUGGAUUCAACAAUAUGUAUAUAAAGAAGUGGGAAAUGUUAGAAAAGGCAGUAAAGUCUAAUUUGACUGAAUUGAACAUUUUUAUUGGUGAAGACAAAACACAGUGUCAGGUAAUCUAAAUAGAAUAUGUAGUUUCAAUAACAUUUAGAAUUUUUUCCUUGUGUUUUACGAUGAUAUGUGCGAAGUUGAACUGAUUUUAGUGAAUCUGUGAUGGGAACGUAAAAAU